GAUGAACGCUGGCGGCGUGCCUAAUACAUGCAAGUCGAGCGAACAGACGAGGAGCUUGCUCCUAUGACGUUAGCGGCGGACGGGUGAGUAACACGUGGAUAACCUACCUAUAAGACUGGGAUAACUUCGGGAAACCGGAGCUAAUACCGGAUAACAUGUUGAACCGCAUGGUUCAACAGUGAAAUACGGUCUUUCUGUCACUUAUAGAUGGAUAAGGGCCGCAUUAGCUAGUUGGUAAGGUCACGGCUUACCAAAGCAACGAUGCGUAGCCGACCUGAGAGGGUGGUCGGCCACCUGGUAUGUGAGAAUGGUCCCAGACACUGACGGUAGGAAGCAGCAGAGAAUCCUCCGCGAUGGGCGAGAGGCUGACGGUGCAACGCGGGGGGAAGGAAGAAGGAGUACGGAUCGGAGAGCGCUGAUAGCAGGAGAGAACAAAUGUGUAAGUAACCGUGCUCGUCUUGACGGUACCUAGUCAGAAAGCCACGGCUAACUACGUG
rnacentral:rRNA from 1 species